rnacentral:rRNA from 1 species
GAUGAACGCUGGCGGCGUGCCUAAUACAUGCAAGUCGAGCGGACGGACGAGGAGCUUGCUGCUCGGAUGUUAGCGGCGGACGGGAGAAUAACACGUGGAUAACCUACCUAAAAGACUGGUAUAACUUCGGGAAACCGGAGCUAAUACCGUAUAAGAUUUUGAAGCGCAUGGUUCGAAAGUGAAAGACGGUCGUUCUGUCACGUAUAGAGGGAUCCGCGCUUGAUUAGCUAGUUGUUAAGGUAACAGCUUACUAAGGCAACGAUGCAUAACCGACCUGAGAGGGGGAUAGCCCACCUUGGAACGGAGCCAGGGUCCAGACUACUACGGGAGGCCGCAGUCGGGAACCUUCCGCAACGGGCGAAAGCCUGACGGAGCAACGCGGCGUGAGUGAUGAAGGUCUUCGGAUCGUAAAAAUCUGUUACUAGGGAAGAACCGCUGUCUCAGUAACUGUGCCCAUCUUGACGGUAACUAAUCAGAAAGCAACGGCUAGCUACGUG